UACGUAGGGGGCAAGCGUUGUUCGGAAUUACUGGGCGUAAAGGGCUCGUAGGUGGCCAACUAAGUCAGACGUGAAAUCCCUCGGCUUAACCGGGGAACUGCGUCUGAUACUGGAUGGCUUGAGUUCGGGAGAGGGAUGCGGAAUUCCAGGUGUAGCGGUGAAAUGCGUAGAUAUCUGGAGGAACACCGGUGGCGAAGGCGGCAUCCUGGACCGAUACUGACGCUGAGGAGCGAAAGCCAGGGGAGCAAACGGG
rnacentral:rRNA from 1 species